GUGGGGGUGACCCGGGGUAGGAAGGGACCUCUCAGCGGCCUGGCCUAGCAAUGCCUGGAUGCAGAUGGGCUGGAGGGAAAGCAGGGACCCUGAAAAGAUUGUCUCCACCUUGGCCACACCUGUUCAUUGAAGGCAAACAGCCCUUGGUUUUGCAUCCAAGUGCUUACUCAACUCAGGUUGAGGGGUCAUGGAGAGAGAGAUACGAGGAAAUUUUAGGACCUUGAGAGUAUUAGCUAAACCAGAAAAGUUUGGAUUUCUCAAAUAUGGAUUUGUUUGGUUUGGUUUGGUUUGGUUCUAGUCCCAACCUGGUCACUUGGGGGGUGAAACAUAUGCCUUUGAACGUGUUUCCUCGUCUGUAAGUUGGUGUAGUGACUCAUACAGGUUUGCUGAGGGAAUCAGCUAAUUCAUGUCAGGUGCCUUCCUAGCCCAGUGCCUCGCCUCCAGGCAUUGUCAAAUGUUGGUUUCCUUCUCCUUUGCUGGUCUCCUCUGCCUCAUUCAGGGCAGGCCAAGGAGGUGGAAGUGCGCUUCCCUGGGUGGUGCCUUGGCCUGCUACCAGCACCCCUUGUGGCUGCCCCAGCCUCACCUACUAGGCUGACUCAGGAGGUCUGGGUGGGACCAUGGUUUGUGUUUAACAAGCUUUACAAAAAAAAACAAAAAACAAAAAACAAGCUUUACAGGUGAAUCUUCUGUGUGGCCGGGCUUGAGGCCUUUGGCCUUCCUCUGAGCAUGUCUGGGCUGUGGUUUGGCAGAUUUGAUUUCCAAGACUGAGACGCCCACCUUUUUGAGGGAGGGAGGAGCCUGAGACCUCGUCUGGGGAGAGUCCAAGAGUGCAAGGCUGAGCUGGCCUGCAUCCCAUCCACUCUGAAAAAGCAUAGGCACUCCUUUGUCCUCAGUCCUGUGGGCCUCUCUGUCUUCCUGGAGGACUUCUUCCUUUUGGCUUGAGGAAUGAGUUGGGACGAGCAGCUUCUCCACACCCACUUUUCUAGUUUCCCUCAUCUAGUUUGACAACACAUGUUUGUUGCAGCUGUAUGUGCAGCAGUGUGAUUUGAGGCACGAUAGCUUAGAUGUGGGUCAGGUCUUCGUGGCAUCACCUGAUAGAACACAGACGUGUGAAUGACUCUUAUCAUAAAGCAGACUAAAAUAAGGGUUACUCCAUAAGAUGCACGCCCCACAGAGAUUAAUGAAUUCAGAUUAUGGAGGCAGCAUCGAUGGAUCUGGAGGAGUGAAUGCCACUUAUGCAGGGAGAAGCACAGGAGAGGCGUCUCCCGUUGGAGGGAGGGUGUGGCAUGUGUAGGAUGAGCCAUGUCUAAUGGGACAGAACGAGGUUGGUGCGGAGGGAAUGAAGAGGGCAGAGAGGUUUAAAACAGUAGGCUGCAGCUAAACUGGGCAGGCCAGGCACCAUCCAGGAAAGUGCUGGCACUCUUCAGUGACCAUGGCCCUGGCAUCCGGCUGGGGUGACCACCCAGUAGGACCUUCCAAAGCAGCUGUGCUUGUCUUGGGGGAGGUUGCGGAGACAGUGCCUACAUGCAGAAGUGUGUGCAGUGCAUCCUCUUUGCCUAUGGAAAAGUCAGGAAAUGUGACAGGGAAGCUGUUCCAUUCAUGAGAGAAUCAAAGAUGGAAUACCUAGGAAGGACACUUAGUAGGAAACGUGUAGAACCUGUAGGCAGAACAUGAGAAGAUGGCACUGGAGACACAAAAGAGCAAUUGUAUAAAUAAAAAUGUUUAGUGUGCUUCUGGAAGGGAAGAAUCAGUGUUUUACAUAUUUAAGUUGUCCCCAGAUUAUGGAUUUAACGCAGCUGCCAGCCAGAAAAUGGGUGGAUAACCCAUCAGAUAUUAAAACAUUAUAAAUUUAUUUUGAUGUUGGGAUAGUAAUAGAAAACAGAUCCAUGGAACAGACUAGAAAGUCUGGAAAAAUAGGAGUUUACAGAUUUAGUUAAUAUUUAAUCACGUGGAAAACCAUCAGGUCCCUCACUCAUCAGACUUCAAAAUAUAUUCCCCCAAAUAAAUGAAAUUUUAAAAUGAAAUUAUCAAAUUCAUUUUAGGUAAGUGAGAAAUUAGUGGAUGAGAAACAUCUUUCUGUACACGACACCAGAGGCAGAAGCCAUAAUGCCACAGUUGUGUUUUGUUUGUUCAUCAGAGGGAAUAAAAACUUCAGUAUGCCAAGAGAAGAAACCCAAAACAAAAUUGAAAGUUAGCCGAUAAACUAAGAAUGUGUAUGACACAUACUCUCUUAUGUAAACAAAUCUAAUAAUUGACAUGAAGAAGUCUUAUUAUGAAUGAACUUGCCAGUAGGAUAGUGGGUGAAAGAUAUGAAUUUGUUGGUUUUUUUUUUUAAGAUUUAUUUAUUUUAGAAAGAGAUUAAGAGAAUGUGUGCACACAGGAGUGAGGGGAGGGGCAGAGGGAGAGGAAGAGAGAAGCAGACUCCACGCUGAGCGAGUGGGAGUUUGAGGGGGGUGCAGGCUCAAUUUCAUGAUCUCACAACCUUGAGCUCAUGACCUGAGCCGAAAUCAAGAGUCAGAUGUUCAACCAACUGAGCCACCCAAGCACCCCUGAUGUGAACUCAUUUUGAAUGGCAGUAAGUAUGAGGAAGGUCAGUCUUAAGAACGAUAACCAAAUAGAUGCCUGUUAAAAUUAGACACUAAUUUUUGCUAUCAAAUUAGCAAGUUUUCGGCGUGUAUUGUUUUUGAUUGAUUUUGUGAACGGUGGCGCUUGGCACAAGUGUGUGGCAAGGACUCCCCUGUGCCUUUAGGAGGGAAAGGUACAAGCACUCUGCCAAACAGCUUUGGCAAAAUGUCCCCAAACCCUUAACAGAAUUCAUCCCUUUAUCUUGGUGAUUCUGCUUUUAGGAAUUUUUCCCAAGGAAACAAUGAAAUCUGCAGUCAAAAAGUUUCUAUGCAAGGAUGUUCCUCACGAUGUUAUUUAUAAAGAUGAAAAUUUGGAAGCAGUUUAAACAUCCAGUAACGGGGAAUGAGUCAUCCUCAUGCUGGAGUGCGGCCGAGCCCUGGAGAGCUUUUCUAAGGAUGCUUAGUCAAGGGAACUUCAUGGUCUAAGGCUAAGUGAAGAAGGCAGGAAGGAUGGCAGCCCGGGCUGGAAGGGGGCUGAAGAACAAGAGCGGAGGAGGAGCUUGGGGCCAGAGUGAAGUUGGGAGAGGUGCUGGGUGCAUAGACCUGUCUUCACAUUUUUUUUUUUUUUUUUUUUUUUAGCUUCCCUUUGGCAAAUUUUGAUGGGACAGGUACUGGGUUACACAGCACUGUCAUUUUGGCUGGAUUUAAAGCACAAGAGGGUUUAGGUGGACUGAACCAUGAGAAGGGGUGCUGACACUCCCAGAAGCUCAGGCAGGCCCUUGCUCAAGGUCGUGGACCCUCACUCUGUCGCCUGUUCUACAUCCACCUGGCCCCUCGAGACAGGCGUGGCUGCAGGGGCUCCAGCCCUCUCCUCGCUGCUCUCCCCUUCCCCAGGAGCUGCUUGUUCCUCCCUCUUCUUCCCAGGGUACCUGAGGGAUUGGAGUUUAAAACCAAACAAAAAAAACAUUCAGGAAGUCCAAUGUAAAAAAAAAAAAA
rnacentral:lncRNA from 1 species